ensembl:lncRNA
CAGGCAAGAGACGCUGAAAGGAGGAAGAGGAGAUUGUUGGGCACAUGGAGGAAGAGAGACAAGAGAUAGCAGCGGAACUCUGGGAGGGAAGUGGUGCAACAAAGAGGCGCUGAGAGGAGGAAGAGGAGGAGGAAAGCAUCAGGCACAAACGGCUAUUCUCUGUAAACCACGGUGAUGACUGUGUAAAGAAAACCCAGACCAGCCUAUCGGGCACCAACAACCAUGCCACAUUCAAACUCACUUCAGUCACCUUUCUCCACCAUCCUGAUUAGCUUAGGUCAUCUUCACCAUGUCGACCUGACUGAAUGCACUGACUUUUAAUGUGAUUGGUUGUUAAUAAUAGUAUUUGUUUUUUAAAGUGCGGCGCUGAACAAGAAGAAGCUAUAUUUAUUUUUUGCUGUGGGGAAGAUCAUCUUUUGUGGCAAUCAUAUGAAGAAAUAAAGUUUCCAAAUCUCAGUAAUUGUCUGCUGAUUAGCUUUGCUACAUCAGACUAAUGCAGGGACAUGGAUAAACAAAAUGUGUUGUGGAAAAGAUUCUUUGCGCUCUCGGCUGGAAAAACAAAUGAAGCUCAUCAUUCUUUUAUUAAACGGCUUAAAGGUAUCGGUCAAAUGGAAGUGACCUCCCCAGAAAAAUCUGACUACCUUCUGAUUUUCUGUCCUGUUAAUUCACAAGUUGGAGCAGACAUUGCCGAGGCCCUGGACACAAUACCCCGUGGUAAACCAGUAAUUCUGGUGGUGAUGCAUCACACCUCCAAUCCUGAGCAGGUUGUAGCUGAAAGCUGGAGACAGGUGAAGAACGAGAACGUCCACCUCACUGUGGAUUGUCUGGUUUACGAGGGAAAACUGCUUGAUUGCAACUUCAAUGAUAUCAUGUGGCGUGACAUUGGGAAGUUUUUCAGAGUUUCCAUUCACCAGCUCAUUCAGACUUCUAAGUGGCAAAAAUGGAGUUGUUUCUCUGACCCUCUGAUACUGGGUAUAGGUUUUAUAAUGUGUGUUAUGAUGGUGGCAACUGUGGCUAUGGAAGUAGUGCGAAGGAUGAUUUAGACGUUACAGGGCUGAAUGUCUUUCUCAAUGCCAUUGUAUCUGGAUCAUGAAAAAAGGAUAAUGAUACAAUGAUAACAGAUCUGCAACUUUAUGCACAGGGCUAUAUGUUAAUUGAAAAAAUGUUUCGUGAGUUUGACAGUGAGUUUUCUCUCUAAGUUUAAGUUGAAAUAAUCUGAGAUGCUAAAAUGUUCUAAAAGAAUAACUUGCUGCUCUUGUCCAAUACUUGUGUCAAAGAAAUCCUCUCUGAAGAGAUGGUCGUGUAAGUUUUGUAUCCAAAGUUUCAGCCAAGGGUACUAUGAGAUUAAAGUUGUUUAAAGUUCAACACAUGGCUAUGUUUCCAGUUCAAAGUCUCUUUCUGUUUCUUCUUAAGCAAAGCGUUUCCACUGUGUAUUGCUGUAAGAUAUAAUGUUCUGGUUAAGAUUUAGGUUUAGUUGAACAGGUUAGUAAGUUUUAAAUAACAGCUCAGAAAGUAAGGAUGCUGUUUUGUGCAAUUUUAUUAAUUAUAUUUAAAUUAUCUGUGAUGAAUAUAAUCAGUUGUAUAUAGUAUUUUAUUUUAUUUUAUUGUGUACAGUAUCUUAUUCUUAUUCUUAUCAUCUUAUCUUAUUCCAGUGUUUUUUCAAAUUUUUGCUAUGUAACUUUACACUGUCCACUUUCUGCUGUAACAAAACAAAUUUCCCACGUGUGGGACUAAUAAAGGUUAUCUUAUCUAUCUUA